rnacentral:rRNA from 1 species
GGGUUGUGAGGUUAAGCGACUAAGCGUACACGGUGGAUGCCCUGGCAGUCAGAGGCGAUGAAGGGCGUGCUAAUCUGCGAUAAGCGCCGGUAAGGUGAUAUGAACCGUUAUAACCGGCGAUACCCGAAUGGGGAAACCCAGUGUGAUUCGUCACACUAUCAUUACGUGAAUACAUAGCGUAAUGAAGCGAACCGGGGGAACUGAAACAUCUAAGUACCCCGAGGAAAAGAAAUCAACCGAGAUUCCCCCAGUAGCGGCGAGCGAACGGGGAGGAGCCCAGAGCCUGAAUCAGCAUGUGUGUUAGUGGAAGCGUCUGGAAAGGCGCGCGAUACAGGGUGACAGCCCCGUACACAAAAGCGCAUGUGUUGUGAGCUCGAUGAGUAGGGCGGGACACGUGGUAUCCUGUCUGAAUAUGGGGGGACCAUCCUCCAAGGCUAAAUACUCCUGACUGACCGAUAGUGAACCAGUACCGUGAGGGAAAGGCGAAAAGAACCCCGGCGAGGGGAGUGAAAAAGAACCUGAAACCGUGUACGUACAAGCAGUGGGAGCACCCUUUGGGGUGUGACUGCGUACCUUUUGUAUAAUGGGUCAGCGACUUAUAUUCUGUAGCAAGGUUAACCGAAUAGGGGAGCCGGAGGGAAACCGAGUCUUAAUUGGGCGUUAAGUUGCAGGGUAUAGACCCGAAACCCGGUGAUCUAGCCAUGGGCAGGUUGAAGGUUGGGU